rnacentral:rRNA from 1 species
GAUGAACGCUGGCGGCGUGCCUAAUACAUGCAAGUCGAGCGAACAGAUGAGGAGCUUGCUCCUCUGACGUUAGCGGCGGACGGGUGAGUAACACGUGGAUAACCUACCUAUAAGACUUGGAUAACUUCGGGAAACCGGAGCUAAUACCGGAUAAUAUAUUGAACCGCAUGGUUCAAUAGUGAAAGACGGUUUUGCUGUCACUUAUAGAUGGAUCCGCGCCGCAUUAGCUAGUUGGUAAGGUAACGGCUUACCAAGGCAACGAUGCGUAGCCGACCUGAGAGGGUGAUCGGCCACACUGGAACUGAGACACGGUCCAGACUCCUACGGGAGGCAGCAGUAGGGAAUCUUCCGCAAAGGGCGAAAGCCUGACGGAGCAACGCCGCGUGAGUGAUGAAGGUCUUCGGAUCGUAAAACUCUGUUAUUAGGGAAGAACAAAUGUGGAAGUAACUAUGCACGUCUUGACGGUACCUAAUCAGAAAGCCACGGCUAACUACGUG